rnacentral:misc_RNA from 1 species
AAAAAAAUAAAAAUAAAAAAAAAGUGUAAAAUUUCAGCCCGGUGCUUAAGUAAACACUUUUGACUGUAGGGGUAACUACGCUUGACUUUUCAAACCAUGAAAACGACGCGGGUACCUGAUCAUGACUAAUUAUUACACACGUUAGAAGUGCUAAAAAAUAAUACGCUUUCACAUAAAAAAUUAAAUUUUUUUAUAAUAUAAAAAAUAAAUAUUAAAUAAUUAUAAAAAAUAAUAUAUAUAUAUAUUAAUUAUACCUAAUAAUUUCUCGUUAGCUACAGUUUACGGUGUGUAUUUCACGCAAGUAUGCUAAUAGGCAACGCGUUUUUCUUUUUUCUCCACUUUGACGAUCGAGAUGCACGAUGAUUUUCUUUUUCUAAUUUAAUUUUAAUUUUAUUGAUUGUUACUUCUAAAUUAAAUUUCGAUACAUAUAUAUUAGCGUUGAUGUAGUGAAAAAGGGGCACUUGUGCCUUGAUUUCGAGGGAAUAUAUAGGUAGGUAUCAUGUUGGAAACAUGAUCCGACCGAACGAUUAUUGUUAAUCUGUUAUGCUUGCCUUAACAACAGUGUAAAACUUUAAUUUUUAUUAUGCCCUCGUAAAGUUUUGUACUGUUAGACUACAUUAUAUGCUGUUCAUAAACUUAAUUAACUGUCCUGGCACGUGGCAUUCGCCAUUAGGUAAAGUAAGAUAUAUCUUUAGAUAAAUUCAUCUUAAUGACAAAAAUUAUCAUCAUUAAUUGGAUUUAAUCAUUACUAUUAUUAUUAUCAUUAUUAUCGUGAAUGAAAAUAAUGAUAUUUUUUUGACAAAAAUGCUUUUUG